rfam:Eubacterium yurii subsp. margaretiae ATCC 43715 contig00073, whole genome shotgun sequence.
GGUUAAGGAACAAAGAGCAUAAGGUGAAUGCCUUGGUGAUUAGAGCCGAAGAAGGACGUGGCAAGCUGCGAAAAGCUAUGAUAAGGAGCAAACAUCCGUAAUAGUCAUAGAUCUCCGAAUGAGGAAACUCACUUAAUAGAGAUAUUAAGUAUCCAUUGCUAAAUACAUAGGCAAUAGGAAGGGAACCCACCGAACUGAAACAUCUAAGUAAGUGGAGGAAAAGAAAGAAACAUCGAUUCCCAAAGUAGCGGCGAGCGAAAUGGGAGGAGGCCAAACCGAAUAAGGAAACUUAAUCGGGGUGAGGGAAGCUGAUAAAUGAUUGAGGUAUCGCAAAAGAAAUACUUGGGAAAGUAUACCAAAGAAGGUAAGAGUCCUGUACUUGAAGCGAGAAGACACAUAAGCUUUACCCGAGUAUCGUAGGACACGAGGAACCCUGCGAGAAAGAUGGGGGACCACCCCCAAAGCCUAAAUACUACUAAUCAACCGAUAGAGAAUAGUACCGUGAGGGAAAGGUGAAAAGAACCCCGGGAGGGGAGUGAAAAAGAACCUGAAACCAUAUGCUUACAAACAGCAGGAGCGAGCAAUCGUAACUGCGUACUUUUUGUAGAACGGGCCAACGAGUUAUGCUGUAAAGCAAGGAUAAUAAAUUAAGUUUAGCAUCCAAAGCGAAAGCGAGUCUUAAUAGGGCGUCAAGUUAUGCAGCAUAGACCCGAAACCGGGCGACCUACCCAUGAGCAGGUUGAAGUUUCAGUAACAUGAAAUGGAGGACCGAACCCACGAACGUUGAAAAGUUCGGGGAUGACUUGUGGGUAGCGGUGAAAUUCCAAUCGAGCUCGGAGAUAGCUGGUUCUCUUCGAAAUAGCUUUAGGGCUAGCGUCUUAAGAAAUGUAUAUCGGGGGUAGAGCACUGAAUGCUCUAGGGGCCGUAUAGGUUACCGAAAGCUAUCAAACUUCGAAUACCGAUAUAUGAAGUAAGGCAGUCAGACUGCGAGUGAUAAGAUCCGUAGUCAAGAGGGAAAAAGCCCAGAUCAACAGCUAAGGUCCCAAAAUGUAUGUUAAGUGGAAAAGGAUGUGAAAUUGCACAGACAACCAGGAUGUUGGCUUAGAAGCAGCCAUACAUUAAAAGAGUGCGUAAUAGCUCACUGGUCGAGUGGUUUUGCGCCGAAAAUUACCGGGGCUCAAACAUACUACCGAAGCUUUGAACGUGUGAGAUUUUACUAAGAACUUAAGUAAAAUCCAAGAGAAGACAUAUUAAAAUCUAACAGAUAAAAAAGAAGAAAAAAACAAGAAACAAAGACAAAUAAACAAAGAAAAAAACAGACAAAUAAAAAUACAGUAAUAAAGAAGAAUAAAAAGUAAUAUAAAACGAAAGAUUUUAAUUAAAUUUCUCAAAGAAAAAACAUACUAAAUGAAGCUUAAGAGUUUAGUAAAAUCUCACACGUGGUAGAAGAGCAUCGUAUGAUAGGGAGAAGGAGGAUUGAAAGAGACUCUGGACGAAAUACGAGAGAGAAUGUUGGCAUGAGUAGCGAGAUGUGUGUGAGAAUCACACAGGCCGAAAACCCAAGGAUUUCCAAGGAAGGUUCGUCCGCUUGGAGUAAGUCGGGACCUAAGGAGAGGCAGAAAUGCGUAUCUGAUGGAUAACAGGUUAAGAUUCCUGUACCUACGCUUAUCGCCAAAGAGGAGAAGGAAUGACGCAGGAGGAUAAGAUCAGCGCACGGUUGGAAGAGUGCGUCCAAGCAGUAAGGCAGGCAUAUAGGCAAAUCCGUAUGCUGAUAAUGUUAAGCUGUGAUGGGGAGAGAAGUUAAGUAUCGAAGGAUCUGAUUUCACACUGACAGGAAAAGUUUCUAUCCAGAUAAGAGUAGCCCGUACCAAAACCGACACAGGUGGGUAAGGUGAGAAACCUAAGGCCAGCGAGAGAACUGUUGUUAAGGAACUCGGCAAAAUGACCCCGUAACUUAGGGAUAAGGGGUGCCUUAGAGAUAAGGCUUCAAGAAAAAGGCCCAAGCGACUGUUUACCAAAAACAUAGGUCUCUGCGAAACCGCAAGGUGAAGUAUAGGGGCUGACGCCUGCCCGGUGCUGGAAGGUUAAGAGGAGAUGUCAGGCAACGAAGCAUUGAAUUUAAGCCCCAGUAAACGGCGGCCGUAACUAUAACGGUCCUAAGGUAGCGAAAUUCCUUGUCGGGUAAGUUCCGACCCGCACGAAAGGCGUAACGAUUUGGGCACUGUCUCAACAACAGACUCGGUGAAAUUGUAGUACCGGUGAAGAUGCCGGAAACCUGCGACAGGACGGAAAGACCCCAUGGAGCUUUACUGUAGCUUAGUAUUGAAUUUAUGUAAUUAAUGUACAGAAUAGGUGGGAGGCUGAGAGAUUAGGUCGUCAGAUUUAAAGGAGCCGCCUUUGGGAUACCACCCUUUGAUUAUGUGAGUUCUAACCGGAAUCUUUGAAGCAAGGUACGGGACAGUGCUUGGCGGACAGUUUGACUGGGGCGGUCGCCUCCCAAAGAGUAACGGAGGCGUCCAAAGGUUCCCUCAGCAUGGUCGGAAAUCAUGCGAAGAGUGCAAAGGCAAAAGGGAGCUUGAUUGCGAGACCAACAAGUCGAGCAAAGACGAAAGUCGGGCUUAGUGAUCCGGUGGUAGAAAGUGGAAUUGCCAUCGCUCAACGGAUAAAAGCUACCCUGGGGAUAACAGGCUGAUCUCCCCCAAGAGUUCACAUCGACGGGGAGGUUUGGCACCUCGAUGUCGGCUCAUCACAUCCUGGGGCUGGAGUAGGUCCCAAGGGUUGGGCUGUUCGCCCAUUAAAGUGGUACGCGAGCUGGGUUCAGAACGUCGUGAGACAGUUCGGUCCCUAUCCGUCGCAGGCGUUGGAUAUUUGAGAGGAGCUAUCCUUAGUACGAGAGGACCGGGAUGGACGCACCACUGGUGUACCAGUUGUCUUGCCAAAGGCACAGCUGGGUAGCUAUGUGCGGUUAAGAUAAGUGCUGAAGGCAUCUAAGCACGAAGCCAACCUCAAGAUAAGAUAUCCCAUACGCAAGUAGUAAGACCCCAUUAAGAACAAGUGGUAGAUAGGCAAGGAGUGGAAGUGCAGUAAUGUAUGUAGCUGACUUGUACUAAUAGGUCGAGGACUUAACCUA